UACGUAGGGCGCAAGCGUUGUCCGGAAUUAUUGGGCGUAAAGAGCUCGUAGGCGGCUUGUCGCGUCGGAUGUGAAAGCCCGGGGCUUAACCCCGGGUCUGCAUUCGAUACGGGCAGGCUAGAGUUCGGUAGGGGAGAUCGGAAUUCCUGGUGUAGCGGUGAAAUGCGCAGAUAUCAGGAGGAACACCGGUGGCGAAGGCGGAUCUCUGGGCCGAUACUGACGCUGAGGAGCGAAAGCAUGGGGAGCAAAAGGG
rnacentral:rRNA from 1 species